rnacentral:rRNA from 1 species
AUUGAACGCUGGCGGCAUGGUUAAAACAUGCAAGUCGAACGCUGCUUGGAGCUUGCUCCAAGCGGGGUGGCGAAAGGGCGAGUAAUGCGUUUCUAACGUGCCCCAAGGUCGAGGACAGCCCAGGGAAACCUGGAUUAAUACUCGAUAACCCCGUGACGUCGUAUGGCGUGACGGGCAAAGGCUUGCUGCCUUGGGAGCGGGAAACGUCCUAUCAGGUAGUUGGUGGGGUAACGGCUCACCAAGCCACAGACGGGUAGCGGGUGUGAGAGCACGACCCGCCGCAUCGGGACUGAGACACUGCCCGGACUCCUACGGGAGGCUGCAGUAACGAAUAUUCCGCAAUGGGCGAAAGCCUGACGGAGCAAUGCCGCGUGUAGGACGAAGCCCCUCGGGGUGUAAACUACUGUCAGGGGUUACCAACUCAAUGAGGAGCCCCAGAGGAAGGGCCGGCUAACUCUGUGCCAGCAGCCGCGGUAAUACAGAGGGCCCAAGCGUUAAUCGGAAUCACUGGGCUUAAAGGGUGCGCAGGCGGACUUGUAAGUGUUUUGUGAAAUCCCAGGGCUCAACCCUGGAAUUGCUCGGCAAACUACAAGUCUUGAGCCCGACAGGGGUCGUCGGAACGCUAGGUGGAGCGGUGAAAUGCGUAGAUAUCUAGCGGAACGCCAAAGGUGAAGACAGACGACUGGGUCGGCGCUGACGCUCAGGCACGAAAGCGUGGGGAGCGAACGGGAUUAGAUACCCCGGUAGUCCACGCCGUAAACGAUGUGCAUUAGAUCCGGGAGGUUUUGACGCCAUCCGGGUCGAAGCGAAAGUGUUUAAUGCACCGCCUGGGGAGUACGGUCGCAAGGCUAAAACUCAAAGGAAUUGACGGGGGCUCACACAAGCGGUGGAGCAUGUGGCUUAAUUCGAAGCAACGCGAAGAACCUUAUCCAGGGCUUGACAUGUACGGAUUAGUUCGGUGAAAGUCGAAUGACGCGGUUUCCGUGGAACGUACACAGGUGCUGCAUGGCUGUCGUCAGCUCGUGCUGUGAAGUGUCGGGUUAAGUCCCUUAACGAGCGAAACCCCUAUCAUUAGUUGCCAGCGCGUUAUGGCGGGGACUCUAAUGAGACUGCCGGCGUCAAGCCGGAGGAAGGUGGGGAUGACGUCAAGUCCUCAUGGCCUUUAUGCCCUGGGCUGCACACGUGCUACAAUGCCGUCGACAAAGCGACGCGAUACCGCAAGGUGGAGCAAAUCGCAUAAACGACGGCCCAGUUCGGAUUGUGGUCUGCAACUCGACCACAUGAAGUUGGAAUCGCUAGUAAUCGCGGAUCAGCUACGCCGCGGUGAAUAUGUUCCUGAGCCUUGUACACACCGCCC